AUAGAUACAUCUUAUCACCCUGCGACAUUGAUUUAUGCAAAGUAAUACGCCUGAGACCCACCGAUUUGGGCAGUUCAAACGCGCGGGGAAUCUGGACCAGAUUUACCAGCUCCGAUUAAUAAUCGUGGCAAAACGGCCUCAACACACGGACCGAGUGCUUAAAUAACUCGGAAAACUGAUAUAUACGUAAUAAACGAUUGUUUAUUCAACACGUGUCUCACGGGAAUUACACGGUCAAAAGUUUAUUGCACGUGCAAUAUUGGAAUCCGUUUGCAUAUUUUUGAACGGUUUGUCGCACCUCAUUUAACUAUUCGGAGCAAUUCGUGUCGCGUCGUUGGCAACGCGUAAUGUUGGCAACCAUAUUUUCGGUCCGUUAUAGUGAAACUGAGGACGAGCAACAGCGGUGGGUACGAUGCAGCCGUUAAUUUGUAAAUUAAUUAUCGUUAUAAUGAGCCACGUAUCUUGAUCAUCAAACGGACGAUGUUACGAUAUUCGACAUUCGUACGAUGUGAGUAGCGAAAGCUCGUAUCUCGCAGAGAUUUACUCGAUCGAAAUUCGUCGUUUGCCAAUCGGCAAACUUAACCGUUUUCGAAAGUUGCAAACAUGGUAAAUCAUAAUUUCUCUCGCAUGCCCAACGUUGCUUCUCUCGUAUUAUCUUCCGCGAUAAAAGAAAGUGUACAAUCGUGUUCCUUAGGAAUGUGUAAUGUGCGCGUCGCGUGCCGAUUAAUGUCGAGAUUAACGAGCGUGCCGUGUAAAGUAUCGUGCGACCGUUGUACUCUAAUGAUUACGCGCGAUCGUAAUUAGUGCGUUUUAUAUGGACAAGUAGUGUGUGUGUGCCAUAAAAGGACAGGACAAACAAUGAAGAAGCGGUAGAGGAGGAGGAGGCCAAGGACUGGCUUCGGGCGACGGCGGAGCAACCGUGAGAUUAUCAACGUGCAUUCUACAACUCCGCUGCUGCGCAUCGUACCGGUGAGUUUUUCAUGUUAAUCUUGAGAUAAUGGGUUUAUAAAUAUAUUGCAUGCAUGUUAUAUGUUUUUGUUGAUAUUUAGUGAUGACAAUUAUUGUGAGUAAAAGGGUGUAAAUUAUAUAACAAAUGAUUUAAAUUGACUGCAGCUGCAGUGAAAUAUUUUAUUAUGUAUU
rnacentral:lncRNA from 13 species